AGCUAUAAAGGGCCUACCCAGUCGAAAGACGGGGGACGCAAAACCACGGGUCUAAAGCUUUUGCCAUGACAGCCGGGUUGCAGUG
rnacentral:ncRNA from 1 species